rnacentral:lncRNA from 1 species
AUGCGAUUAGACUCAUAUGCAAAUUAUCAAGACUAUUAUCCACUAGAAGAAAAACAAGCCUAAAUUCUAUUGUCUGUGAAGAGAAAUGACCUGAAGAGUCUGCUAAACUUGAAACAUGAGAAGCUACUCUACUAAGAUUCUGCACUGUUCAGGAAACCGAACAUCAUAAUUUGACAUUGUCAAGAAAAGUACAAAUUUCAAGCAACAUUAUCUAUAUCAGGAAAGGGAAAAAAAGACAGAAAAGACAAAGAAUGUUUCCUCUACAGCAAACAAUGCCCCAAAUAAGCAUAUCAGGUGAAAAGGACACUGGGAGGAGGAGAUCUUGAAAACUACAGAGAAAAUCAAG